GCCGGUGUAGCUCAGGUGGUAGAGCAACUGAUUUGUAAUCAGUGGGUCGGGGGUUCGAGUCCUCUCACCGGCU
rnacentral:tRNA from 1 species